UAUUUUUUUUUUAAUUUUUUUAUUAGAUUAACUGUUAUCCCAAAUUUGCUAUAUAUUUUCAUGUUUGUUUCAAGUCAUAUAGAUUUGAUGUUGACUAAGCUUUCUAGAAAAUCUAUUAUAUAUAUAUAAAAUAGGCUAAGUUCUUUCAAAGAAGCUGUCAUAUGGUACUUUUUAAAGAAAGUUUAGCUUGCUAGUUAUCUUAUCAAAUU
rnacentral:misc_RNA from 1 species